GUAAAGAUGCACAUUAUUAGUCUCCUGGCUUUCCCAUUUUGCAACGCUUCAGGCUUGAAUGCUUGAUGCUUUUCUUUCUUCCACCGUUUGGCUCUUUUCCGUUUCUUACUUUGCAAAGCUUAAAAAUCAAAUGGAUCCCCGUACAAGAGAAAUUCCAUUGCCUCUUCCUCCCCCUUAACCUAGCAGCGCCGCUGCUCACAUGAGUGAGAGAGAGAGAGAAUUGAACUCGAUGGUGUCUCUGCAGUUCGGGACGGUGAACACGGAGGCUGGGGAGCUCUGAUCUUCAAUCGUUAGUUUCACCACCAUAUCUCUCCAUCUGCGACUACAAGUUCCAACGCAAAGUUGUUCAUCAGAAGUUGCAAAAUGCAUUUGAAGAUGUAAUGUAGAUGUGAUGAUGAAUACUACCACUAAAAGAAGAAUUGGAGUGAAGUCAUUGUUGAGUUUCUUGGCAUGCAGCGAUGAAUUGCAAGGAAUGCCUCAUGUCUAAAAGGAAAGGUGGCCAAGGAAAUUCUGCAUUUGGAUUGGUAAGGGCGAAAACCUUUGCGUCAUGUGCACUUCCUUCCCAUCCUGAAUACACAUAUGUGAACAUCAUAUUGAAAUCACAUGCACACAUAACAUUUUGUGUGACCGUUGUCUUUCUACCCCUGCAUGACACUUGUUUUUCAGUAGGAACCCAUGCGCUUACAUGUGUUCCAUCGAUCGCACCUACACAAUUCUACAACAAAAGCCAAAUAAAAGAAAUUGAAACUAGAUCGCAGCAAUAUGACAUUUAUAUAAAUAGGCUUAAAUACUCUAGAGGUCCCUGAAAUUGUGUGGCAUAUGAAAAUAAGUCCCUGAAAAAAAAAAUUCCGAUUCCGGAUCCCUGGAAAUUUUUUUUUAAUCGAAAUAAGUCCCUACCCAUGUUUCAUGCUUAUGUGGCUCAUUUUUUACACAAUCACAAUUUCCACGUGGAUUUUUUUAUUUUAUUUUAUGCCAAGUGUGUUAAUGAUUUACAAACAGAUCUGCUAAAACUCAUUUUCUCUUCUCCACCAACAGAUCUGCCUCUUCCCUUCUCCACCCACAAACCCAUUUUCUCAAAACCCAUCACCAUCACCCUCUUCUCUUCGUCAACCACCCCAAGAUCUGCAUAAUCGCUGAAAACGACCUCAACCACGAUGACAUUGCCAACGAGCUUGGCUUGCUCUCAGAUCUCGCGCUCUUCCAUGUCAACUCCAACAAGUUCUGUGGGACAAGUUAUGGGUUUUGGGGUGUGGGUUUCGAUGGGUUGGGGUUAUGGGUUUUGAGACUCCGAUUGCUGGGAGAAGAGGGAGAACCAAGUUCUGAUGCGGGUUGCUGGGAGAAGAGGGAGAACCAGAAGAAGUUGAAGGUUGAAGGUUUCGAUGGUGGCUGGUGGUGGUGCGGUGGGGUGUGACGGUUUCGGGGUGGGGGCUGGUGGUGGUGCGGUGGAGAGAGGAGCAAAAGAAGUUGAAGGUUUUGAAGGUUUCUGGAAGUAUGAAGAAGAGGAUUGAGGAAGAUGGAAAGUUAAAAGAAAAUUAAAAUUAAAAGAAGAAGUCCACGUGGAAAUUGUGAUUGUGUAAAAAAUGAGCCACAUAAGCAUAAAACACGAGUAGGGACCUAUUUUGAUUAAAAAACAAUUUCCAAGGAUCCGGAAUCGGAAAAAAAAAUUUCAGGGACUUAUUUUCAUACGCCACACAAUUUCAGGGACUUCUAGAGUAUUUAAGCCAUAUAAAUAUGACAUUUAUGAUGAAGUUAAUUACCUUGAACCAAGGAUAAUAUUUCUUGUUAUUCUUAAUUCUAUCAGGCAUUUCUGUGGACUCUUGUUUAAUCAACUCUUUUCCAAACCGACAUACUGCCCUUAAAACUUCCUUGAAAUAACGAGAAACUGUUUCUGUGGAGUGUUGGAAGCGGUUAGCAGCAACUCUAUGGCGAACACUGUGGCCAAUUAUGAACAAAAACAUGGCAACUUUUCUUCAAGAAGGACAUCCCUUGAGUCGCUCAAGUAGUUCUUUCCCCUCAUUUCAUUACAAAAAUUGAGAAAACAUGUCUUCUCCAUUCGAAAUAAGUCAAAGCAAGUCGUUCCAGAUCCAUUUAACAUCUCAGCAACAAAUGCACGACCAUUUAGAGCAGAAUUGUGCACACUUGCUUUAUUUAAAAAUUUUUGAUAAUAUUGAUACACUAUGUCAACUAUCAUGAGGUCAUCAUCAUCACUUGAUUCAUCAGAAGAAGAAAAAUCAUCGGAGCUACAAGCAUCACUUGCUGAGUUAAUAUUAUCAUCUAUUAAAACCAUAACCUGUCAUGAAAUUCCAUCACAAUGCAUUAAUAAAUAGCAAUUCAAUCAUUAAAAUCUAAUCAAAUCAAUAACACUAAUGGAGGCCAAUGAAAAUAAUAUCAUAAUACUGGAAAAAAUUAUGAAAUCAGUCAUACUAAUCAAAGAGAAAUAAUAACGAAAAUACACCAUAAUACUAAAAGUAUAUCAAAUUCAAAAUCUAACUUAAAAGAAGCAAAAUUUGGCCUUAAAGUCUAACUAGCCAUCCCUUUCUCCUAUCACUAGGCAUGGUAAGAAAUGUUUCUCUCCACACAAGCUUCUCAAAAUUUUCUAUGGCUUUUGCAAAAAGAUCAUCUGAAAUAUAUUCAAUCUCUCCAAGAACAGCCAUACACUUGGCCAUAGAAUAGUCAGAAGUAUUCUCCACGUUCUUAGCCAUAAGUUUCUCAGCUCUAGCAAAAUUAAUCACUGCCCUCGCCUUAGACGCUUCAGUCCAUGCUGCAAGUGCCUCUCCCAUUUGAUUUGAUUUAGACUCUUUCUUGGGUUUUUGCUCUUUUAUAGGCAUUUUGCGCUUUCCACUACGUGAGAUGUGCUCCACUUCAUCGUCUGUACUAUCCUUAUCAAUAUUUACAUGAACCCCAGUGUUAAAGUAUUGAUCUUCAAGCUCAUUUUCUUCAUCUGUAUUUGGUGGGUCUUGGGUAGAGGAAUGAUGCAAUACUCCAGUUGCAGUACUUCUAUUGAAUAUGAUGCCCAAUAAUUUAUAAUGCUCACAUCCUUUCUUCUGAAAUUGAGCAGCCUCUUUAUGUGCCUAAAAUAAAGCAACUAAUUAUUCAACUAAUUGUUAAGAAAUUUUACAUAUAUAUUAAACUAUAACCUCACAAAUAAAUAAUAUUUAUUGCUAAACUAAAUCAUAC